AGGGUUCGAUUCUGGCUCAGGAUGAACGCUAGCUACAGGCUUAACACAUGCAAGUCGAGGGGCAGCAUGUAGGUUGCUUGCAACCUAUGAUGGCGACCGGCGCACGGGUGCGUAACGCGUAUCCAACCUUCCCCGCAGUAGGGUGCAGCCCGUUGAAAGACGGAUUAAUCCCCUAUGUUGUCCAUUGACGGCAUCCGAUUUGGACGAAAGGUUUCACCGCUGCGGGAUGGGGAUGCGUAGGAUUAGGUAGUCGGCGGGGUAACGGCCCACCGAGCCUUCGAUCCUUAGGGGUUCUGAGAGGAAGGUCCCCCACACUGGAACUGAGACACGGUCCAGACUCCUACGGGAGGCAGCAGUGAGGAAUAUUGGUCAAUGGAGGCAACUCUGAACCAGCCAAGUAGCGUGCAGGACGACGGCCCUACGGGUUGUAAACUGCUUUUAUGCGGGGAUAAACGGCAUUACGUGUAGUGCUUUGCAGGUACCGCAUGAAUAAGGACCGGCUAAUUCCGUGCCAGCCGCGGC
rnacentral:rRNA from 1 species